ensembl:lncRNA
UACCGAUUUGUCUUUUGGGGAAUGUUCUUCUCAGAGUGUUGGCGAGCCUCGUCCCAUCUUUGUUCUUGAAGGACUAGGCCUUUUUUGGAGGCUACUUAUAUACUAUGAUUAGACGAUUGCCUCACCUGUUUCACAUCACCUUCUUAUUUCAACUUGUCACAUCGCUAUUAGUCCUAAAUUGCCCUUGUCCCAACUUUUUUGGAAUGUGUGCAUGCAUCAAUUUCAAAAUAAAUCUUUACCUUCAAAAAACUAUGCAGUUGAUCAGGUAAAACAUCAAAUACCUUGUCUUUAAAAGUUUUUUGUUUGUUUGUUUAAAUACAAGUCAAAGUACAUUUACAAAUCAUUCCUCUUUUUUUAUUAGCAUUGUCCAUACUGUCCCAACUUUUUCGGAAUUGGGUUUGUAAAACAUAUAGAGGUCUGAUUAUUUUCUGAAGCCACAGUGCAGUUAGGGCUGAGUGUAUACAAACGUGUGAAAAUCUCAAUCCCAACACAGUACUCUGCUAUAGCCAUGCUUGGUCUAGACAGAUUUAGAAAUUAGUCAGUUGAUGAAUGCUGACUCAUUCAGAGAUUAACUAUGGUUAGAAAGCAUUUGUUUGUCUCCAACGAUGGACUUAACCGCUAACAGAGGGCAAACAGUAACUUUCAUCUAACGGAAAAGACAUGAGCUCUGCGUUCCAUUAGAAACACUAUGCUAUGACAUGAAUCAUGAAAAUAGCCCCAAUGAGUAUGCUUUCUAAAUGACUGUAAAACAGAGAUUUUGAGCUGGAGAUGAAGGUUCCUCUAAACAGGGGUAGUCAAGUAGACCAAUAAAACAUCAACGACUCUUAAAUGUGAUCGAGGGCAUUUAUCUGACAUGUACAUUCUCAGUACAUAGUGGCCUAUCCCAGGUGCACUGGGUUUAAGAUGGGAAUAUGCCCAGGAUGGGAUGCCACUCCAACAGACUAGAAUUCUUUAAACAAAUUUGUAUUAUGUAUGCCCUCACACACUGAUCCAGAAGCCAGAGUGAUUAUGACACAGAACAUUGGGUGAAUGAGUGACCAAGCACAUUGAUUGUGCUUAUCAAAAAUCUUUGAUCAUACUGUAAGACCAAAAAUAUCUGGUAACUAUAACAAUACAAUUAAAAAGAAUUUCUCCUGCUGCUCAUUACGUAAUCCUCUGGCUCAGAUUUCAUUGACCACUCAUUUCAAUUUUCAUGAUCCAUCUUCAAAGAUUUCAAACACAGUGUCUCUUAGUACAUAAUACUAAUAUAAAAUAUAUAUAAUACUAUAAUAUGAUGAAAUCAUAUUAUAAUGUCAUGCGACGUCAACUAGGAAGUGGCUUAUACUUCCAGGUAGUAAAAAAACCCCGCUAGUGUUCCAUUUCAGAUGAUACCACCUUUCGAAAAUUCAUACACUAGACAGUAGAGUACGUAGUGCAUAGUGUCAGUGUAUAAUACGUCAUUUGGGACACAACUUUUUUUAUUUUUUAUAUCUACUCUCCAAUAAUACUUUUUUGGAUUUAUUCUCCAAUGCACGUUUUUGUAAGAGAAG